ACAGCUGUGUUCAAUGUUCCAAAAACAUUGAUAUAGUCAGCUAUUUAACACCCCCAAACACACUUGCUGUUAUAUCCGUUAGAGCUCUUUUUUUUUCCUCCCUCUCUUUUUUACAACAAAAUUUACACAUCUUGGAUUUUAUUACUCCUUAGUGCUUAUUACUUUCUUUGGGGGGGGGGGAAGAAUACAGUCAAAUAUGGCAAAACAAAGCUGUCAGUCAAUACCAAGGAUAGACAUAGCACAUGGUGUAGAACAGAGUACAAGUUUAUCAACAAUGGUUAUCAACGUUGUCCCUUGUUUCCUUAAAAAGAAUUGUCUAUCUCAUUAGAUAUUAUAAAGUUGGACAAAACAGUAGAGAACAAGACCAAUAAAACUUAGGCAUUGUAAACAUUACAGGACUUCCAAAGAAGACAAUAGUCAAACCAGAAUGGGUAUCUUAGUGAAUCUUAUUGUCUUCAAAGUAGUUGCCUAUGUCUUCAAACUUGAUACUAUCAUAUAGAAUGGAACAGAGUCUAAUCAGUCAAAACAAGAUCGUGGGGAGUACUACAGGACUUCAAAACAAGUUAAUAGGAAAUCAAAAAGAGUUACUAUUUAUAUAUCCUAAUUUUUUUGAAUUUUUUCUUUAAUUAAGACAAACAUAAGAAAUGACUAAAUAAUUUUUUUUGAAACAAUAAGGGGGAGAUUGAGAUAAAACAGGACAUAACAAUAUAACAAUAGAGGUCACAGCAUGACUGUUUCAACAACCCAGUACUUCACCACCUUAUAACCUGACUUAAUAGUAGUUACCAUAGUGUCUUUUUCCUUGAAAUAUUUGGAUAAAACUUCAUAUACUCUAGCUUCAAAUAUUUUCAUAUCAAGAAGCCCAGAAUAAAGCCUUUCUAAUUAAUGAGUGAAAACUUUGGCAGUGUCUCUUUUACUGUAAUAAAUUAAAAAAAUUUUUUUCAAAUAUUCACCUUUUCAAUUGCACUGCAUAGACACUCUUGAUCCUAUUGGCAUACUUAAAUUAAUAAUGAAGAUUAUUUCUCCUCUUUUCUACUUUCUUUUCUGCCCAGGAGGUAAAGAAAAUUGGUUUUCAUUUUUUUCUUUUUCCUGGUAGAUGGCCCUCCUCGUUGAGUGAGGCCCCUCCAGGCUGUUCUCCCAUUAGUGUCUGCUUUUUGUUUUUACAACUUCAACCUAAGUGAUAUUCUCAGUAUGAAGGUGUUGGAAAACGACAGUCUUUGUGUUGUGACCCACAGAGACCGAUGUGAACUGGAAAGCCAUUCUUUUGCAGUUGCUUCUCUCCUGGGGAAGGAAACGGGCUAGAAAAACGCGGAACCACAUGGUGCAGGGUGGGUGAAGGCCAACAAGGGGCCGGCGGGGUCAGCGGGUGCGCACAUUUUCCCGGCAUCCUCUACGGUUUUGGCCAGACUUCACCUUCAGUAGCAACUCUGCCAAACUGCGUGGGCUGCGUUCCGAGGCUCCCAGAAAAUCCGCAAGUGGUGCUGACUCAUGGGAAAAGGCUGGGUCUGGCUGUUCACCAUGAUGAUGUGGCACAAAAGCUACGCAGAAUGCGGCAUUUUGACACCUGAACAGGAACCUGGAGUACAAAGAAACUCUCCAUAUAGUAGGGAGUGUUUGGAUGAUUGUAAGCCUGCUGAGAUGACCACACAGGAUUUGGCUUGCAGCACUACUAAGUCCUGAGCAGAAAAAUGUGAUCGUGGAGCAACAGCCACCCCUCGCCAUAGAGCGUGAACCCUCUAGCUAUGCUCAGUUAAGUAAGGAAGAAGCUGUUGGGAGUGGUGGUAAAGAAGACCUUUUCCCACUAGAGGAGUGUUCCACUGGACUUAUAUUUUGCAGCUGCCCAAAGUAAAACCAAAACCCUUAACUGUGUCACAAGUGACUACUUCCACUUUCUCAGUUCAGAAAAAUUUUGCUGCAUCACAGGCUGAGACCCAUCUUUCAUAGAAUAGAAUCAUCCCUUCUUUCUCCCUUGCAGUAAGUGCUAAAACAAGCAGAGAAGCAGGAGACCUCCUGGAGAGGUUUCAGCUUGUUUACCCUGUUGCUGAACUCCAGUAGCCCAGUAAUCCAUUUUCAUGAAGUUUUACCCUAUAAGUCCUUAAAAGAAUUAGAACAAGUGACUGCUACCUGUGGCUCAACAGUCCCGUUUACCUUAGGUUUUAUAGGGCUCAGAGGACAACAGGCUUCAAAUGAUUGGAAAGGAACAGGUAAAGUAUAUUUAAGCCUGGGAUUAUUAAUUGUGGGAGGGAAAUUUUUUGAACUGUACAUACAUUAGGUCACUUGCAGUACUGUUCCCAUCAUGACCAUUACAAGGGACAUGUUAAUUGGAGAAGGUACCUUUGCUGCCACAAGUAAUCAACUUACUUUUUUUUUUCUUUUGGUAUCUGGGAUUGAACUCACAACCUUGCACUUGCCAGACAAGUGCUAUGCCACUGUGCUAUAUCUCAGAGAUAUACUUAAAAUUACUCCCAAUAGUUGUUUUUUUUUUUUUUGGUAUCAGGGAAUGAACUCAUGACCUCAUACUCACUAGGAAAGCACUUGAGCUGCUGAGCUAAAUACCUGGCCUUCAACUUAUUUUUGAAUUGCAAGCAUAUGAACAAAUUAAAAUAGCUGCCACAAGGGUUUGGAGGAACUUCCUUUAAGGAGUGAGACAUCACUUUAUCUGACCUUCAUUCAGCAGUGUCCUGAUGAACCUUUUUAGGAUUUUGAAGUAUGCUUAUUUUAGGCUAGUAGGAAGAUUUUCAGCAAUAUAGAAAAUAACAAGAUAAUUGACCAACAAUUCGCCUUUUAAAAUGCAAUGAGUGGUGUAAAAAGACUUUAGCUUUUGGGGCCUUUGGCUGUCCAUGGGCACUUAAGCCUGACAGUGGCCCAGCUUAUACAUGUGUUGCCUUCCAAAUGUUUUGUAAAACUUUUCAUAUUUCCCUUACAGUGGGAAUUCCUUAUAAUACACAUGGUCAAAGAAUUGUUGACCAUGCUUACUAUAUGCUCAAAAUUCAACUACAAAAACAAAAACAGAAAUCCUUCCCUACAAAACUAUAUCUUAUAAUAGACUUCACUUGACAUUAUAUACUGUUGACUUGUUAAAUCUUAAUAGGGAUGGGACUACAGCAGCAGAAAAAAAAUUCAAUCAAGUAAAGGAAAAGAAGCUAGGAAAUGUCCUUUGGAAAGAUCUUCAGCCUGGACUGUGGGAGAGACUCAACCAGUACUCACAUGGGGGUGAGAGUAUGUUUGUGUCUUUACAAAAAAUGCUGAAUGAGAUCGACCUACAUGUCAGAGCUUGCCGUCUGGCUGUAUCAUGGACCCAGACCCAGAGAAGGAGUUGGUUCCAAUUGUCAAGAAGUUGAUGCUUAGUUCUGUAGCAGUGAUGCAUUCGAGAUUGCUACAACCAACAGACAAUUUGAGGCUAGAACCGACCUGGGGCCAAUUAAAGAAAUUCACACAGGAUUCCCAGGGAAUGAUAACCAAACAUAAAUGGGCAUCAAAGGUCUGAAUAGAUGAUAGAGUGCAUGGAGAUACUUUGCUGAAAGCUAUGUGAAGAAAAGGGACAUGAAAGUUACAAGAGUUCUGGGUAGAUAUAGAUACAGUUAUAUCUUUGUCCUAUUCGUGAACAACUGUUUUUCAUUUGAGCUCAACAAUUUUUUUCUCUUUCCUUUUUCUUUUGCAUUUUGGGAUCAUUUGUUCACAAUUAAUUUGAUUUAUAGGUUUCAAAAACAUGCUUCCACCUGGCUUUCCAGCUGGUCAAAAUGGUAUCAAAAUUGGUUUUCUCAUAGUUCAUCAGAAAUUUGUUAAGGUAACUAAAUGGGGAUUCUACAGGCUUGGGUCAAAGCUCCCUUUGGUGAAUAAAAGAAUAGCUGCUUGAGAAAAAACCACAUCCCUUUAUUUAUUAAUAGGAAGCCCCAAUGAUCUCACAAUAAAUGUUGGCAGCCCAAUAAAUGUUAUUGAAAAUAUAUUAUUGUGAUAUGCUUAUAUGGGUCAUCACCAAAAGAUUAAAAAAGAUUCUAGAAAUGGGGCAGUAAGGUUUUCUGAUUUGGAGAUGCUCUGGUACAAAACUAGUUUCCAUAUGGCUAUGACAGUUGUUAUUAAUCUCAUGAUGUAUUAAAUGUAUUCAUGCCUUCUGAUGUAUAGGUAUUCCAAAAUGUAAAAUGGGGAUUGUUUAUAGUGAUUGACUUUUCUUUCAGAUUCAGACACUUGCCUUUCUUUUGUGCUCUAGCUCUUCGUAAUAAGAGGUUCAUGACAUACCAACAUGAGAUCACCAGUGAAUAAUAAUAACAAAAAUUUAUGUGAUGUAUAUGCUCUGUAUGUGCCACUGUACUUAGAAAUAUCUAGAUAAUAUCAUGAAUUUCUUCAUUGGCAUCCCAUUAAAGGACAACAAAUUAGGUAAAAGCUUUUAAAAGGGGUAUUUUAUGUCAAAAUGUAGAUUUAGGUGUAUUACAAAAAUGUCAUCAUGAUUGACCCACUGCAAUAUUAUAUAUGGCUUUUGAGUUCUAAUUUUCUGUGAAAAAAGUAUGUAACUUUUGUUUUUCAACAGUCUAUAGGGUUUCAACUACUAGGACAUCUAUGGUUGCUUCUACUUUGUAUUUCAAGGUACCUGAUACUCAGAUAAAAUUAUAAUAUUAAACUCACUUUAAUGUGUAAUGUUAUUAACCUUCUCUUCUGAAUGUUCAACAACUGAGGUUUGGAGACCAAAACUGGAACAAUAGAUGGACUAGGAGUAUAACCAACAUUUUAGCCCCAGCCCGCUGAGGUCAAUAAGGCCUUAUCAUGAGAGAACCUCUACUUCAACAUCCUGUAACUCAGUAAGUCCAUCAUCUUCUGACCAAGAGAUUGUUGGACCACAGAGGAAGGAGAUAACAAUGUAUAACGUGCCUAAGGAGAGUCAGAAGGAGAGAAAAAUCUCCCAAGCUUUGACAGAAAGCAACUUGGUCAAGCAAUGCCUAUGAUUCAUCCAAUGGCUAACACUAACAGAAGAACUGAGAGGUGCUAUACAUGGUUCCAAGGUAGAGCCUUCGGAGAUUUAACUGACCUUAAUAGAUAGCAAGAAACUAAUUUUAAUGAAUACAGGUCUUGUUUUAACUUAGUCUUGCACAUCCCGCAGAAAAGUAUAGCUACAAGAUGUAUAAAAAUGUCAUAGUAAUAUGCUAGAUAUAAAAGAAACUCAAAUCACUAACACCUUCUUAUAAUUUCCAGCUACACUGCUAACUGACUACUGUUAGGGGAUAAUGGGAUGUAUAGAGUUAAAUUGCUGAAUGGCAGGGACCUAACAUCCUUAGAUUGGGAAUCUUUCAUUUAAAUGAGUAAGUCCACUCAAAAUGUAAAUAUUUUGAGAAGGAGAAGGUCUUCUGCAGAAUCCUUCAAACACUGUUCCUCCAACUCCAACAGACCACCCAUUGCUUGCAACUACAAAAUAGAAAAAGGGGAGAUGUGGGGAGCAGCUGAAGCUGGAGCUCAGUUACACAUGUGAGGCUGAAACAAGGCCAGCCCCAAGGACAGAGUGCCCAAGGCAAGCCAUGUGAGCAACCUGCCCUAGCCCUGAGGACAUGAGAAACUUGAGGCGAGCCAGGCAAACAAAUUGUUAGGCAAAGGGGUUUCACAUCUUAUUAACCUCCCAAGUGUAUAAAUAAGUGCUCUGCAGUCAUUGGAUGGUUCUUUUUCUCCCACCAGGAGAAAGUCUUCUCUCCAUAGGUUACUAUGGUUCUGACGCUACUGUAGUGUAAAAAUUGUCAACUGGAUGAAUUGGAGUAUCCUUAGUGUUCAUCCAGUCCAACAGCUGCAUUUGAUAAAUAAGAAACAAGCUGAUUGAACUACCAUGUCUUGUUGAAAUGAAAAUCAGCUUUCAUCCAGGCUCCUUUCCACCUAAUAGUGUUUUGUAAAAAUUUUCCCAAGUGGGACUCUGUUUUGUAUUUCACAAAUUCCAUGAUGGAAAGAUACAGCUACCAAAAACCUGACCUCAAGUUUCUGCAUUCUGACUCUUUUCUUCAUUUCUUUAUCCUCCACCAUCCUUUCCCUGGGAAUUUUAAGAGCUGUGCUACAUGUGGCAAAUAAGGACCUCCCUGGUGGCUUAUGUUUUUGUCCUGAUGUCAUGGGGACAAGUGGAUGUAAAAAUCUUUAUGGUUGGAUUUCUUGAAUAUUUGACUAAUGUACUUCCAUCUUUUCCUAUAGAUUGCAAGUUCAUAAAAGUGGAAUGUCCUCUUAAAGAUAUGAAGUGGAUUUUCAUCAUCUGAAAAACAGUCCAUAACUCGCAAAUGGGUUGUCUAUAAAGGUUGUUUCUAAGGCAAUGACUUGAAGUUAAAAAUUUCAUACAUGACUGUUAGGUUCCGAGGUUAACUGAACAAGACUUCCCAAAGCAGUCACGUUACUUUUUGUAAUUUUGAAGCAGCACUACAGCCUUGGAGAGGCAUGACAGUGUACUGGACCAGUGAUUCCCAAGUGGGCUGACAAAGGCAGUUUCUAAAAGCCUCUUCUGGCACAGGGCAUCUGUUGCAUCCCUCCAGUAAUCUCUCCUUCUGGUAGCUUUUCCCACCUUACUACUGUGCUGCUUACCGGCUAUCAAAUACACACAAACUGUUCAGGAAAUAUUCAGGGCACUCACCUACAAAAUCAAAUUUUCAAGUUCCAUUGUAUACUUUUUCCCUACAUGAACACAUAUUAUCUAAACCUUUGCUGGAACAUGUCAUAGCCUUCCUCAGUUACCUUCCUUUGCUUAGUGCUCUUGGCAUGCAGACUCCAGUUCCCAUUAGUCUAGCUUUUCUUUGCUCCUCAUCUCAUAUGCUGCCUCCUCUUAUGACUUCUCCCAAUUGGAGCUCACUUUUCUCGUCUCCACAUAUUCUCAUCCCGUGAUUAUCUGUCAUAUGGCAAUUAAUAUAGUCUUUAUGAGAUAGUGUUUUGUAGGUUGUUUUUCAUCCCUGUACAUUUCUGAAGCCUAGGAGCCAAUAUCUUAUCCAACUGUGAGGACCUCACAAUUCCAAGCAGUGAGCUUUGGAUAUGGUAGUUGCCCUACAAAUGCUGGAGGUGUUGAACUGCCUCCCUACCCCAUUCCACUUACAUAUGUUCUGGGAAGGAGUGGGAAGCCUGUGUAGGUGCUGGUAGGAAGCCAGAGAGGGAACUGUCUGUGUUGCUUUCAAAUGUUAAUGUCCAUAGACAGCUAUAAGUGCUGUCUACCUUUGGCUUUGAGUCAGAUAUAAUAAAACAAAAUCAGCCGUUAGGACUAAUGCUUUUUAACUUUUGUUGUAAGGCUUGUAAAAGAUGUUUGCUAUCCUGACUGGUGUCAGAUUCAAUAAGUAUAAUUAAUCUCUGGAAACACAUAGAUGAAAUUACUUUAAUCAUAGCUUUCAUUUGUUUCUGACUCUCUGAGUCUCUUGGGCAUUGAGCAGAACCCUUUGGCCCUCUGCCACAUGAGGCACCUUGAGGCCUGCUCCCAGUCUUGGCUUGGAAAUAGUGAAUCUUUCUGGGCAUUCAAAACUUGCAAGUGUAAAACAUUUGCUUUUCUAUAUCCAUCUCCUGGGGACUUACUGAAGGAAAGUUUAUUUGCCCUGGAGGGAUGACCUUUCCUUUCUUCUCUUACCCUGUUUUCUAGCUAGUAAAGUGAAGGAACUUGGCACCUGCCUCAGGAAAGGUUCAGUGGGACCACAGUCCUGUAAAUGGAUGGCACUCUCUCACGCAUUUUCAGAUUGCCAAAGAACUUCUCUCUAUAGGUUACUAUGGUUCUGACGCUACUGUAGUGUAAAAAUUGUCAACUGGAUGAAUUGGAGUAUCCUUAGUGUUCAUCCAGUCCAACAGCUAGCUGCAUUUGAUAAAUAAGAAACAAGCUGAUUGAACUACCAUGUCUUGUUGAAAUGAAAAUCAGCUUUCAUCCAGGCUCCUUUCCACCU